rnacentral:lncRNA from 1 species
UUCUGCUUGAGUUGACACUAUUUAUGUCCAAACCUGGGUUUAUACUCUUUGCUUGUCAUCAUCACUCAUCGGUUGGGCUGUUUACUUAAUGUAUUUGUUGUCCGAUUGCUCCAUCAUAUUUCCUGAUGUACUUCUACAUAUAUAUAUGUUGGUUGUAAUCUGCUUGAACGAUCCAAGUACUUGGUAUUCCAUUCUGUUCUUGUAGGUGAAUGGAGCUUGUGUUGUUGAUAGAACACCGUUGAUGACUUCUUCCUAUGUUGAAGAGCAUGUUCCGUGGUAUCCAAGAAUAGCUAGCUUUAACUUGGCAGAGUGUUUUAUUUUUCAAUCACAAUAUUUGUGAUUGUGUGGAAUAUUGUAUGGUUAUGUACGCGAAGUUUUAAGUUCCUGGGCAUGCAAUAUUUUUUAGGUUAAAAUGGUUGUUGUGAUGUGAACGAGUGUAUGGAGUUUCACAUGUUUUGUUCUGUACAGAAUAUAUUGUAAUAAACCUAUUUUAGUUGUUAUUUGAAGAAUUUCAUAUUCUUUUCUUCUUUCUGUUUUAUAUAUACUGCUUAAAAAGCGAUGUGGAUCUACUGCCAGGAAAAAUCUGACAAUUGGGACCCAUCUGAAAACUGGACCACAAAAAACCCUCAAAAAUAAAAAUGAAAUGGACCGCAAAAGGCCAUGCCUAGAAAAUAAAAAGGCCCAAUUGUUGGGCCAGGCCCAUAUAGCUAGAGAAAAUUAAUAGAGAAAAUAUAGAGUAAAAAGGCCGAAUUGUUGGGCUAGGCCCAUGUAGAAAACCGAAUUGGACCGGCUGAAUCUUGUGUCACACCAGCUUGCCACGCUGGAUGCCUACGUGGCAUGGGGAGGUUGCUAGUGACCAAAAAUUUGGUCAUGGAACCAACGACCUUUUACAUAUCACAAAGAAGGUCACUAAUUUUAGUUUACGACCGCCAGCUUUUGACCUUCUGUUUUUGGUCACAAAAAGGUCGCAAAUGAAAAACAAUGACCUUUCAAUGCCCAAUAGCGAGGGUCACAAGUUGACAUAUUUCUUGUAGUGCCACAAAGCAGCAUCUAGUUACAAGCAAAAAAGAGAGAUUGGUGCUCACCGGAUAGGGCCACAAUCGAUGAUGUUUGGGGAUGCGGCAGAUGAUGUAAGACCCAAAGCGACAGGAGUUGGCGGCGGAGCUCUUGCUGGCGUGCACGAGAGGAGCUGCUGCUGCGACGACGGGCACACACAACUACACAAGAGCGUCUCCCUCCCAGCUUUAGAUAGGGCGCGGGCACCCGCGAUCCUGAUCUCCUACCCUCCAAAACAGCAGCACAACCAGGCAUACAGCCGGUCUAUCUGCCACCGUCGACACGGGGCCGCGCACCGAGAAACCGUCGGUCAGACUUGAGACCGCCCCUCCACCAGGGGUCGAGGUGGCUGACGGAGACAACGCGCAGAAAGGAGCACCUCCGGUCCUCACCUCCAGCAGCUCCGGCCCACUGGAAUCACGACACCAGCAAGCGUGGGUCCCUCGCCUCCGCCGCCAUCGACAUGGCCGCAGCAGCCGAGAUCCACCAACCGCAUGAUGCUCGUGAGCCUCCAUCUCCACAUAGCGCCACUGAACCACGCUGGGAUCGCCGCCAACACCGUCGCCAGAGUAAACGAAAGGGAUGGGACGGUGUUGGUGGGGGGUAGAUGGGGCGACUGUGUGGCAGAGAAAUGGGUAAGGAGUGGCUGGGACGGGGAAACACAGGAGUGGUGGUGGGGAGCGUUCGCGGCGGUAGUCAAUUUCCUCGAACGAAAUAAAAAGCUGACCUGGCUAAUUUCCUCUGUUCUAAGAUUCAUACCUAAACCCAAUGAUGAAAAGCAUGUUCGGCCCAAAAGCUUAAAAUACUUGUCGUUCGGAAGUAAUUGAUUCUGAUAAUAAAACAGUUUUGCUAAGUACUCCGUCGACUGACACUUUGUUUUGUCUCAAUCGAUGCUAUAUUCCUUUGAUCUUGCAUGGAGAUCCAUGCAAAAAGGAUUCUUCAUUUUUCUUUUCUUUUUCUCCUUCUACUAUAUCACUUGACUGAGGUUAAGUCUCAGUCAACUGAGAUAUAGCCACUUCCACAAUAAAAUUUUGACAAAUGUAAUUAACAAAUGGUAAAAAAGUUUAGAGAAAUCAUUCACCGAUCACGGACAACGUUCCGCCGCCCAUACAACAUUGGAUCCCAUCUGAUCAUACCGCACACGUUCACAUAUGUUUUUACUAGCCCCAACCAGCCAUGUGCCCCUUACCUUAUCUUCUAAAACCUCCGUUGUCUUCUCCUAGCCAUUUUCCUCUCUUUCUCCGAACUCUCAUCCCCGCAGGACGCAGGUUCCAUUUGUAGCCGCCCCAAGUCCUCAAGUCGCGUCCGCCGUAUCGGGAGAGCACCGGCAUCCGCAUCUACGGGGAGCCGCGUCCGCCAUCGCCCCGCCCUCCCGAGGGAGCACCGGCGUGGACAAGCAUGCAUGGUUGUUGCCUCCUCGAGCUCAGUCACAACCGCUGGUGCCGCCAUAACAACAAUUCCCACAAGUGUGCUAGUGUUGUGCUACGCGACGAUGUUUAUGCAACAAGGCCUAUGUUGCAAAAGGGUUCUCACAACACGACUUCUGUUACAAAAGUGAGGAAGACGCUCGGCCGCGAGAUCAUGUCAGAUUCGAAGGCUCAGAACCCGAUGGAUCUUUUAAAAAGAUCCGCCGGCCGACGCGUAGCACGCCCCAAAGAAUUAGCCAGAGAUUGAGGGGAAAUGGAUCUAUUAAUGAAAACUAGUAGAACACCCGUGCAUUGCCACGGGCGAACAAAUGGAUCUAUCAGGAGCCCCUCAACUUCAGCUCUUUGACCACUCUAUUAUUAUUACUUCACUUGUUGUCAGCCCAAUCCAAAUCCAUCUGGUGUUCCCUCCAAAUUUGACAAUUUGUUAAGUCCCAUCAUCCUAGAUAAUUGCUCGUGCGUUUCAACGGGGCAUAAAUAUUAUCCUCAUGCAUAUGUUUUUUUUCCGAGGGAUCCUCAUGCAUAUGUUGCAAUAUUGUCAAUUGAUUAACCUUUUUUUAGCCAAAAUGUUUAUGUUAAAUCAGUUAGAAUUUUUUUUGCGGGGUAAAAGGGAUUUGUAUUACUCAAGAGCCAAGAAGGUCCUCCCUACACAAGCUAGGGAUAUUGUCUGGGCCGGAGCGGAGCCAGACCACAGUACGGUCCUCCGUCUUUCCAAAGUUCGCCAACGCAUGGCUUACAUUAUUCUGAUCUCGAGAAAUAUGAAUAACAUGACACUCCCUUUCACUCAUAAGAUGCUUCACUUCUGAGACCACCAUGGCAUACUGCGAGCGGUCUUGUCCUGAGGCAUUGUUCAGUUGCACUGCCUGCAGACUAUCGCACUCGGCGAUAAACGGCAACUCCGUCCAUUGGAGGGCCAAAGCUAUGCCCUCCAUGCACCCAGCCAGCUCGGCAUGUAGAGGGUCCGGGCAAGACCAUAGCGAGCGACACGCGGAGAAAAUAAUGGCCCCUUCCUGGUCACGGAGCACCAUUCCCGUCCCGGCCCUCCCGUCAUCAUGGGAAAAGGAGCCAUCGACAUUCAGCUUCGUCCAGUUGGCGGGUGGGGGACUCCAUUUGUGGACUAUUCGUGGCACACCUCCCACAUGUGAUAUAGGUUGUUCUGCACCUUCUUGUUGGAUGGUCAUCUUCCCUUUGUCCUAAUCUCCCUUUGGAUACUGCUGGAUCCCGAGCAGUGAGGUUACUUAGCUCUGCAAAAAGCGAUGGGAUACCUCCACAGGCGGCACCGGUUUGUCAUGAGUGAUCUCGUCGCACACAUGCCAACAUCUCCACAACAGCAUAAUCAGGCGCAGCCGGUCCCCUUCAUUGCUUUCUACAAUUAGGUUCAGGAGCCACUCUGGGCCGGUGUUACGGACUGACUCGAUGUCCGGUAUACUCCACACCUCCGCCAUAGUCCGCCACAAAUGCACCGCCCGAGGGCACCUGCAAAACACAUGAAAAGUGUCCUCGCGCUCGAGACGACAUAAUGGGCAUAUAUCAGUAACCUCCAUGUGUCGACUGAAUUUAUUAGACCAUGUGGCAAGGGAGUUAGUAGACAAACGCCAUGCAAACACACGCACCUUAGGAGGAGCAGGGCACCUCCAUAAUAAUGCCCAGACGGCACGUCGUCCGUACGGUGCCCUGCUCGUUGCGACUGAAGAGGGACAAAGCUUGUCCUCAAGCGCCAGCCGAUACGCGCUACGUACGAUGAAGAUACCAGUACGUUCUGCACCCCAUGCAAGGAAAUCUGCCCCCAGCCGAGGGGACGCUUUAAUCUUUAGUAUCUCCUGAACAUCAACGGGCAAAAAGUACUGUUGAAGUAGGGUUCCGUGCCAUGCACCAUGCUUGUCUAGUAGCUCUGAGACUCGGCGGAGACAGCACCUUCCCUGUUGGGUAAUUGGUGGCCGACCAACAGGGUGUGGUAUCCAGGAGUCCCGCCAAAUUCGGACCGACUGCCCGUUACCGAUGCGCCAGACUAAGCCUUUCUUCAGCAAUUCCAACCCAUGCACAAUGGCCUGCCAAGUUUGCGACGCGUUGCUAGUGAAAACAGUAUCUUCUAAUCGUCCAUUAGGGAAAUACCUUGCCUUCAAGACGCGCGUACAAAGACAUUUCGGGUUGACCAAAAUACGCCAUGCUUGCCGAGCUAACAUUGCUUGGUUGAAGAGUCUGAAGUCCUUGAAUCCCAUACCCCCAGCCGAUUUGGGCCUCAGCAUCGAGUCCCAAGAUUUCCAGUGGGUUUUCCUCUUGCCUCUGUACGCGCCCCACCAGUAGCUACGAAUCAUCCGCCCCAAAUCAUCGCAGGUGCUUGCAGGAAAUUUAAACAAACUCAUUAGAAAGGUGGGUAGGGCCUGCGCCACCGCCUUAAUAAGAACCUCACGUCCUGCUUGGGACAUCAAUUCUCCCCACUGUAUAAUUCUCUUUGUCAGUUGUUGCUGAAGAUUGUGUAGUUUCCUUUUGAAAAGCGGCCACUUGGCUUUGGAAAGCCAAGAUAUUUUUCCUCAAAGCUCAUAUUCACCACGUCCAAGUUGUGCAUGACCUCCUGCUUGUUAGCUUGUGAACAUUUGGGGCUGAAUAUUAUAGAGCACUUGGCAGGAUUUAUGAGCUGGCCCGUAGCUCUAGCAUAUGUACUGAGAACUUCUUUGACUUGGGCAGCCUCCUCUCCAUUAGCACGAAAGAACAAUAAGGUGUCAUCCGCGAACAGGAGGUGUGAGAUGCCUGGAGCUUGGGCGCACACCCGGAGUGGAGUGAGGCGGUUGGCUGCAAUCUCCUGUUUUAGAAUAGUAUCAAGACCGUCAGCAACAAAAAGGAAAAGGAAAGGUGAGAGGGGGUCUCCCUGCCGUAGUCCACGAGACGGUGCGAAUGAAUCCGAGAGGGCUCCAUUGACUUUCACACAAUACCUCACCGAGGUGACACACCUCAUUAUCCAAUCCACCCAUCGGUGAGAGAAACCCAUCUGUUGCAUCACUCGCUCCAAGAAACCCCAAUCUACCCAAUCGUAAGCCUUGGACAGGUCCAGUUUAUAGGCACAAAAGCUCUGCUCCGGGUCCUUCUCCUGUUUGAUCGCAUGAAAACACUCAAAAGCGAUUAAUGCAUUAUCUGUAAUUAAUCUGCCCGGUACAAAGGCGCUCCGCUCUGGGGACACCAACUCAUCCAAAAUAGGCCUCAACCUAUUGACCAGGCAUUUGGCUAUCACCUUAUAUAUGACAUUAUAGAGACUGAUAUGCCGAAAAUCAGUGAGUCGGGACGGCGAGUCAAUCUUGGGGAUCAAAACAAUGACCGUGCUGUUUAUCCCGUCCGGCAUGACUCCAGAGGCAAAAAAUAAUUUAACCGCAUUAAUUAUGUCAUCCUUCAUAACCGCCCAAUGCCGCUGGAAGAAUCUCGCGGGGAACCCAUCCGGCCCCGGCGCCUUUAGGGGCCCUAUCUGGAACAUUGCAUUAGAAAUCUCCUCAUCGGUAAAAUCCUUGCAUAGAUUAUUGUUCAUCUCCACGGACACCUUGGGCUGUAUAAGCCGUAACACAUCAUGUGGAUCCAACAUUGGGUCAGCUGUGAAUAAAUUAUGAAAAUAACAUUUUACCAUCUGUAGCAUGUUGGCCUGAUCGGUGUGCAUAACACCCGCCUCAUCCGCCAGCCCUCGGAUUUUAUUCUUUCUCGCUCGCCAAACUGCCUUCCUGUGGAACAUCUUGGUGUUAUGAUCCCCUUCCUUUAGCCAAACAAUCUGAGAUCUCUAGAGCCACAACAUUUCCUCCCUGUAAAACAGCUCAUUCAUCUUGUUCAUCAAGCCUAGUACGUGACUUUUCUAGCUCCCGUGUAACAUUGCCAAAAGUUUUAUUACUCCAAGUGUGUAGAUCAGCCAUAACAGUAGCAAGGGCCUCCCGUACAUCUCCCAGGUUCCUCUUCGUACCUUUGCUUGACCAAGAGUUUGCGAUAAUGGCCUCUAACGCCGGCGAUCUCUCCCACAUCAACUCGUACCGGCGGCUGCUGCGAGGCCGCCUGUCCUGUUCCAGCGAGAACUUGAGGAGCAGCGGGCUAUGGUUCGACGCUGGCGACACAAGGUGUGCCACCGAAGCUUGCAUAAACAUGUCUCUCCAGUCAUUGGACGCCACCGCUCUAUCCAGCCGAACUUGGACGUUCGCCCGGCCACUCCGCCUAUUAUCAUAUGUGAAGGGGUGCCCUGAAAAACCAAGAUCAGUGAGUCCACAAGCUUCAAGUGCAUCCUGAAAAUUAAUCAUUUGACCAGCAUGUCUCGGAGUUUCUGAUUGAUGCUCAAAAUCCCACAUAGCCUCAUUGAAGUCACCGAUAGUCACCCAUGGCAGAGCGCUCUGAGCAUGCAGACCUUUGAGCUUAUCCCACAUCAUGUGUCUAUUUUCUACUCUCGGUUCGCCAUAAACAAAUGUAGCUCUCCAUAAUGGCUUGUCCGGGGACACACGCAAAUACACGUCAAUCAAUCUUUCAUUAGCUUCCUGCACAUCGACAUACAUAGACUCAUGCCAAAAUAGUGCUAGGCCACCACUACGACCAUUACUACUGACUCCUUCAAAACCAGAAAGCCCUAACCUAUUACGCAAACGAUACAUCUUAUUUUUAUUUUGCCUAGUCUCACACAAGAAAACAAGACUUGGGGAUUGCGUCAUACCAAGAGACGCGAGAUCAUGAACUGUCGAGGGAUUCCCCGCCCCCCGGGAGUUCCAACUUAGCCAAUUCAUUGCUCCUGACGGGGCGGCGCACCCGACCCCGUCAGUUUACCGGCGGCCCCAAGGCCGGUUGCCUCCACUCCAUCCAUGAUGUCCGAGUCCAUCUUCUCCUCAUCUUGAUUCUUGCCUUUGCCACUACUGAAUCUUCCCUCGUUUCUGCUUGUUGACAACGCCCCUCUUUGCAUGCACCACCAUAGCUCCCUGGUUGGGAUUCAGGUCGUCGGACGCUUGCCCACGUGAAAAUCUCUUCCCCAGAGCAGAAUCAGCCUCUUGCAUGUAUUGAUCGGAUUCAGCAGAUGAAAAAUCCGAGGAGUCGUGAAGGUUACGCAUGGCCGGGAUCGUAUCCUUGCUCCCAAGGUUGCUGUUGUGGCUCGGCUCACUCCCAGGUGGGCGUACUGAAAGUGGCAGGGGCGCAGGUAUUCUACCUCCAAGGAAGACGAACUCUGGAGGUUCAGAUGAUGCCCGCACCGUACGGACUCUGCUGGCCUCAGCUCUCUGCCCAGCCAAGUGUACACGCAUAGCUAAAACACGAUCAGAAAUGUCCGUGUCCAUGUUGUGUCUGUCAGAGCUGCUGUGUUCGCCAAAACCGUCGUGAGCAUCAACCCGUACUGGUAUCUCUGGUGUUUGCUGCUGCUCUUGACUUCCCUUCCCUCUAGGCCUCUCUCUUGGCUUUCCAAGAACCUUAGAGGGAGCAUUACUAGCAAAGUUCAGCCCCCGUCUUGCUGCAGGCCGGGUUCCAGGUGCCACAAACGCUGAUCUAUUCUCAAACUUCUGUACGGAGAGCACCUCAACCCUUCAUCAUAUGCUCGGGUCGGAACACCCAACCUUUUCUUCUCGCACUGGUUGCCAUCGUGGCCUAUGAAUCCACACCAGAAGCAGUAGUGGGGCACCCUCUCGUAACGGAGUGGGUAGAUAACUUGUUUCGCCGGGUCCUUGCCGAUGGUAAUUUUGGUCUGGAGCCGGCGGCCAAGUGGUAGGUCCACACGUAUACGCAAGAACUCGCGAACCCUGCUCCCAUCAGCCUCUGCAUCCACCUCCAUGAUGGUACCCAACAAGCCUGCAAGAAAUUCGCCAUACGCAAUAGUCUGCUUUCCCCAUGGAACGUUGGAUACACGGACCCAGAUCGGGACUGAAUUCAGUACAGCCUCAGAAGGUUGCUCUCCUUCCUUGAACGGGCCAACAAUGAGUGUGUUUCCCUUGAAAAUCCAAGGUCCUCCUCUUGCUACAAAGUUGUAAUAUCCCUCGGAGAAGAAGGUCACCGCAUACCAAUUGUUCUUAAUCCUUGCAAUAUUGAGGUCUGUUCGUACCUUCCAGACCUCGCUGAAGUGUUCCGUCAUGUCGUCGACGUUUGGCCGCCCGAUGCUGAUGUAACGGCUGAGCAAUCUCCAUCGCGGCGGCACCGCCACCGGCUCCACUGCAGGUUCCUCUUCCACAACAACAUCAUCAUCUAGGUUCACCUCGCCGCCAAUACUGACCUCCGGACCAUCCAGUCCCACACUUUCCCUCUCAUCCCAGUUGCUGGUGUGAUCAAACUCUUCCGCCGGCUCGAUCUGACCUCCGGAACCCCGCGCGGGCACCAUCGCAUCGCCACCGAACGACUUCGGGUGGGUAGGGGCCUCAUCGGCCCCCCCUUUUUCACCCCCAUCGCCAGUGGACGACAUCGACGGAGAGCGCGCGGUUGCUGCAGACGUAGCUUCAGGGUCGAAGAGCGGGUUAUUGAAAGGCGCGAUCUUGCCAGGAAGAUUGCGGCGGACUGGAGGACUUAUGAGAGUCCCGCCCGCCACAGUUCCCUUGCCGGUCAUGGCCCCAGACGUGUCCUCCUUCCUUCCGAGACGAAACGUAGACGGCUUAGACUCCCUCCAUAAUCCGGAGGACGAACUACCACGUAGACUCAUGGUGAGAAACGGCUUAGACUAGGGCGGAAGCAAGGGAGUCGCCCAUGGCAGCGGCGGAAACCCUAGGACGAGGACCCGUGGGUUUACCUGGAGCAAAUCAGUUAGAAUUGAAUAGCACCCUAUCUAGAAACAUUGACCUGCCAACAAAUAUGGAGGUAAUGCGUCUCUCAUUUAUAUACACAUAAUAGUUAAAACAUUUGCAUUCAAGCAAAUAUGGAAUGUAAUGAUAGGCACACCUCUCAUGUUUACACACAACAGUUACAGUAGUAGGUGAAGAAACCCCCAGAUUCUGAAACAUUUUCCCUUUGAUGAAAAUGCUGGUACGCCUCUUUGGGAGGCAGAAGCAUUUCAAUGAUUCAUUUUCUUUUCAACCACGUACCCAAGUGCGACUCAUAUUUUUGUUACUUUUAGCGUUUUUGAGUUGUUUGUAAAUUGCGAUCCCUAAUCCCAUUUCACUACCCAUUAAUCAAUCCAUUCUUUGUAGUUGCAACUCAUAACUGUGCAGAUCCCUAAUCCCAUUAUACUACCCAUUAAUCAAUCCAUUCUUUGUAGUUGCAACUCAUAACUAUGCAGAGCCCUAAUCCCAUUCCGCUGCCUAUUAAUCAAUCCAUUCUUUAUAGUUGCAACUCAUUGUUUGUAAAUUGCGAGCCCUAAUCCCAUUCCACUGCCCAUUAAUCAAUCCAUCUCACAAGUUUAGUACAUUUAUUUCCCACAAGUAUGGCAGUUGAAUAAUGCCCAAGAACCUGAAGUCAUUCACUUACAAAGAAAGAGGGAAGACAAAACCAUCUUGUUAGCUCACCAGUAAACAAUUUGAGUCAGUGAAGAAGUGGAUUACCAUAUAUAGAGAACACAGGGGAAACCAUCGUAUCAGUGUGUGGCAUACUCGGCUCCUUCCUUUCUCAUCACUAUUGUUGUUCUUGUUCUCUGCUGGUUGCUGUUCAAAAAAGAACAUUUGUGAGGCCAAAUAACCAAAAAAUCUUACAGACAUAAUAAAAUAAACGGUGAACUACACAAAAAUGUCUUAUUAAUCAUGCAAUAAGCUGGCCCUACUCACAUAAAAAAUACAGGAAACAAUAUGUAUAUAAUGAUUUUACCUCAUAAUGAAUUUUUGAGAAUCAUAUUAUAUAUGUGGAUGGCUCCACUCAAAAAGCAUGAAACUCCUCAAGUUGAAAACCUAAAAUAAGGGAAAUUCCUUCGGACAUUUCAACAAAAGGAGAAAAGGUUAUAUUAACGACAAAUCGGAAUUCUCGAAAGUUCAGCACAUCAGUCCCUUUCAGUAAAUGUAUACCUGCAAAGCAAUUAUUCCUCUAAGUGAACCCUGAACUCUUUUGUGUAACAUGUAAAUAAUUUUUUUGUAACAUCUAAAUAUAACAUUAAAUUACAGUAGAGAAACAUGGUGUACAUGCAUGUGUCGUAGGUGGGCCUAUCAUAAUCACAAGAAAGACAUUUAGUUAUGAGAACGUCUUUUUUGUAAAGGCAAGAGAGGUCACAUAAUGAAAAGAAGAGUCAGAGAAACGUACCACGUACACAAGACAUGUAGCCGGAGAAUCACAGAACCCUCAAUCAAAAACCUAAUUGUCAGUGAAAAUCGAACGGUAACCUUCCUCGCCUGAUCUGAAUGAACUCUUGUGAAUCAGCGAAAAUCUUCAGCGUCAUUUUUGAAAUAAAUAAAUACUGAUAAGACCACAGCGUUCUACAAUCUCCAUUGGAAAUUUUGCAAGUUAUUAUUAUUACUCAUUUUAUUGUUGCACAUCACAUAUUUCACUGCCGGAAAAGAUGAUCAUUUUCUUCCGGAGGUAGAAGAAGGCCUCGUGCUACUUGCUCAUUUUGCCCCGUCAUUUAAGCAAUGGCGCAAGAUUUUCAACGCCAGCACGGUCACCCCGUUGAGCUCGUGGUCCGCGUCGGUCAGCGUCCUCUCGCCGGCCCAGAGGACGAACGCCUUGUCGCAGCGCGCCGGCGUGCCACGAACGUGCUCCAGCAGGGUGGCCGCCUCCGUCAGCCGGUCCUCGUCCCCGCCCGCGGCCAAGUCCAUGGAGGCGCGCCCCAGCCAGCGCACUGUCAAGGCGUAGUUGUUGGCGCACUCGUCCAGGACCAGCCGCCGCCGGGGCGACGUCUCGGAGGCCUGCAGCCGGGCGAUGCGGUCGCCGGUGGCCUUGGCGGUCGCCAUGGCGAUCCUCAUCGCGAUGACCACCAGGCCGAGCUCGUCGGCUGUCGCGCUCGCCGGAUCCGCCCCCAGCGUCUUCACGCAGAAGUCGUAGUCCUGCGCCCUACCGGUGCCGACGAGCCUGCACGUGUCCUCCAGCGUGCUCGCCCUCGCCGUGCGCGUGUGCUGUGUGAGGAGCAGGAGGACGAGGACGGAGGAGAGAUCUUGGAGAGGGGCCAUGGUCGUCUCAUUUGUUUCUCUGUCAGACUCGAACUAUAUAUAACAAGAGUAUAAGGAGUAAUUAGAUGCUGGCGCUAUAAAUUUGUGUUUAUGGUUUCAAACGUUUCCAUUUGUUGCUCAUGCAUCAAAGUGAAACUCUUUUACUAAUUACGCCACAUUAAACGAAUUUGAAUGUAUAAUGCGAAUCAACCUGUGGUUGAGAUGGUUAGGUGGACAAUGGUAUCCCCAACCCAUCAGGGUUCAAAUCCUGGUGCUCGCAUUAUUCCUGGAUUUAUUUCAGGAUUUCCGGCGAUGUGCUUUCAAUGGGAGGAGACGUUCCCGUCGACGACGAGGCGCCUACGGUGACUUCGUAAUUCUUAAGAUGAUAUGCCGGCUCAAUCUCUCGGAGGUGCUCAUAGGGAUAGGGUGUGCGUGAGUGCGUUCAUAGAGGUGAGUGUAUGCGCGUGUAUAUGAACACUUGUGUCUGUACUAGUGCUCAGAAAUAGAAAAAAAGAAUUUAAAUGUAUAAUAAAGGACCUCGAUAUAUGCCGAACGUUCGGGCCGGGACGCGAGCGGUCUGAACUGAAGUUCGGUAUGAGGAAAAAUAUUGCCGUUCGAAUAUUGUCGUGGGAAACAAAAUUAGUUCCGGCCCGAACAAAAUUAGUUCCGCUCGGGGGCUGUCCUCCCGAAUGGCAAAAUUAAUUUUUUUCUGAUACAAAUUAAAGCCCAGAUUUGUUUUUCUUUUCGUUAACCAAUUGACAUUCGCUCUGGGCUUCAUCAUGACUGGUCAUCCCGAAAAGGAUUAUUUAAUAAAGUUGCCAUCACGAACAAUAAGAAGAAAAAUAAUUUGCCAUGGUCCAAUGGUAUAAUAUAUAAAAAAUAAAACUGCCAUGGUAAUCAUAUAAAAUGGCCAUCAUAGUAAAAAAAAGACGAAAACAUAAUUUUUAUUGUUAUUAGAGAAAAAUCACCAUGUUUUAUUUCAAAAAUAAUUUACUUAAAAAGAAUUUUAUCGAAAAAUUGAAAAAGGGAGGAUGUAUGCACAAAAAUGAGCUUGCCAUGGUAGACAAUUUUUAUCGUCCAUGUUACAAGAAAAACUUUGCGACGUAACUAAAUAAAGUUGCCAUCAUGAAAAGUAAAGAAAAAGAAAAAAAUUGGCAUGGUCCAACGGAAUAAUUUGCCACGUUACAAUAAAUAAAAUUUCCAUGGUGUUAAAAUAAAAAUGCCAUCAUGCUAAAAAAAUAACAGAAAAGGAAAAAAAAUGCCAUGGCGGGAAAAUGAAAUUUGCCGUGAUACAGAAAAUAAAAUUUCCAUGGUAGAAAAUAUAAUUUCGCCAACAUGGAAAAUCAAGAAAAAAAAGAAAUUGCCAUGUAAAAGCAAAACAAAGAGUUAAAGUUUGCCAUGUAUGUUGAAGUACUUUUGCCUUGACAGUAGACAUGAAUUUGCCCAGGGGAACAAAAGGGAAAAUUGCCAUGGCAAAACUAAAAAGGGAAAUUUUGCCAUGUAUGUUAAACUAAAAUUGCCAUGGCAAUAAAUGCAAGUUUGCCAUGUCAAUUGAUGAAAAAUAUUGCCAUGGCAAAACCAAAAAGCACAAUGUUGCCAUGUAUGUUGAAGUAAAUUUGCCGUGACAAUAAAUGUAAAUUUUCCAUCUCAAUGAAUGAAAAUAUUGUCCUGGGAAACAAAUGGUGAAAAUUGCAAUGUCAAUGAAUCCAAAAUUUUCCAUGACAAAGCAAAAGGAAAUAUUGCCAUGGCAGAAUAAAAAAAAUUAAAAAAUUGCCAUGGCAAGAUAUGUAAUUUUGCCAUGGUAGUAAAGGUAAAUUUCCCAUGGGUAAGAAAAAGAAAAAAUUGCAAUAGCAAAUGCAAAAUGAAAUUUGCCAUGGUAAUAAAAAAUAAAUUAACCAUGCUACAAAAAGGAAAGUUGCCAUGUUCUUUAGGCCUACAGGCUGAAAAUAACCAUGGUAAAAUGCGGGUUGAAAAUUGCCAUGAUAGAAUAGUAUAAUUUGCCAUGACAAAAUAGUACAAUUUGCCAUGUUCUACGAACAUGGAAAUUUCCACGAUCGAAUAAUACAUUUUUCCAUGGUACUAAAAUAAACUUGCCAUCAUGAAAAGAAGAUAGAGAAGAAGCCAUGGUACAAAAAAAUAAAUUUGCCAUCAUGAAAAAGAAAAAAGGAAAUUGCCAUGGAACAACUAAUUUUGCCAUUUUAUUUUACUUAAUAAAAAAUUCCUUAUGACUUGCCAUGUGGUUUUAACAAGAAUUUCCAUGUUGCUUAACGGAAAUUGCCAUGUUUUCACAGAAAACUUGUUCUGCUUUAUUUUUGCCAUGUACAAAGUAAAAACAAGCUAAGAAAAUUGCCGUGUUUUCUAGAAUAACAUGGCAAAAAGGAUAUACAAUAUGCAUAGGGGGUUGCCAUGAUUGAAAAACUACAAAUUAACGAGUUCGUUCUCUAAAAAAACACGGCCAUUUUUCUGAAUUUGUAAAUGGUGACAUGACAAAUUUAGUCAUUAUAUUCUCAAGGAGAAGAUGGCAAACUAACAGAAGCUAGAUCCAUUUUCCUUUUUUUGUGACAUGAAGUGGAAGCUGCAUUCAUGGAAGGUUGUUCAUGUAAUUGGUUACCUAGAAAAACGGGGGAAAGGAUGCAAGCGAGCUCACACACGGUCCAGAGAGCGAGGUGGACAGGAUCCUCGUAAUAAGAAGGGUGUUGCCUCUCCUUCAAAGUGGAGUGGAUGCACCCCAUGGCCUAGCUCAUCGCGGCCGCAGACGGGCAGAUAGCGCCGACAUGACCAAUCACGCAUCACCACCACCUCCACCUCACUGUAUAAGUGUAGGGCUGCAACGCCAGCAAGGGAUGCAGCGGGCGGGUGAUCACAUCCAGGCCGUUGGCACGGAAUUGAAUCUAAACACUCUUAUAUUAGUUUACGAAGGGAGUAUAUAGUAAGGAGCUUAUCUUAAAUUUGCCAUAUACCAUUAAUUAAAAAAUUCAGAUAUUUGCCAUGUUUUUGUAGAUGCACAUUGCAAAAAUCUGGAAGAGCAUCGAGGGAUAGACAUGGCAAGGAUUGAGGGAUGCACAUGGCAAAAUCAUAUUGUGUUUUGUUAAAUAAGAAAAAAACAGUACAACUCAAGAUGAGAUGCACCAUUGCACAAAAGGAAGCUCCUAGAAAUGAUUGGAUAGAGGAAUCAACACUGCAGACAAUGCCACUCUACUAUGUGUACUGAAUGUCUGUUACAAUAAGAAAGCUCCUACCGCCGCAUCCACACUACAAGAAAUAUGUUAACUAGUGACCUUCUGUCAGUGACGCUGGAAGAAUUGGUCAUAGAUCUAUGACCAUUUGAUGCCAAUUGGUCAAAAGCUGUUUGGGGGGCUCCAAACCCUAAACCAUUGCGACUAUUUUGUUCAGAAAGGUCGUAAUUUCCUUACACGAAAUGGUCAUAAAGCAAAUAGUGCUGGUCCGCUGCCUUAUUUCUAGUUGUUAACGACCAAUAUAGAUGGUCAUAGUUUUGUAGAUUGUGGUAGGUUUUGAUGACUAGGCGCCAUCUCAUCAGUUUUGCCUGUGUCAUGUCCAUGUGUCAAUUUUUGUCCUAGGUUGUGAAGCAACCUAUAUUUCUGUUAUUUCGAAAAUUCCCAAAAAAUUCUCAUAAAUUGUUUGGAUCAUAUGUUCAUCAAAUAUGUCAAAACAAUUCCUUGCCUAGUUCAAAAAUAACUCAACAAUAUUCAUUUUCCUAUUUUGUUCAGAGCAGCACUUUGUGAAGGAAGUACCACUUUGGCAUGUCCAAAUGGUAUCCAUUUUCUACAGUGCUUCCCUAUGCCCAAAUAACCAUCCUCCACCAAAUACCAGCUCAAUCCAUUCAUUAUUUUGAGCCCAGCUUCAACAUUCGUAUUUAUGUCCAGUGUGGUACUUUGCAAAACAAGUACCACCUAGGCUCCUCCUUUUGAGGUGAAAAUUUGUGAAGACGGUCUUCUUAGUAACUGAUCAUCCUCAGCCAAAACUCACGCUCAUUAGCCAUGUGCAUUUCCCGUACCGCAAAUCAAACACUUGGCUGCUUAUUCAUGUUUGAGCAUCGAUCGGUCUCCUCGUGAGAAUCUUAUGUUGUGAUUUUCUUCCUAGCACCUAUCUGGGGAGUGCCCAACCCACUAGACAUGCCUAGGCCGCCCAGAACACAUGGCAACGCCACGGUCACGCGGUGACCACGCGGCGGGCAUGCGAGCUUAUGCGCUCUAGAGUUGGGGCCCUCAGCCACCAUCCAAACCUCGAUGUCUCGCCAUCAAACCAUGUAUUUCUGAUUAAAUAGAUACUUAUUUACCUAGAAAUGAUUUUUGGAAAAAAUAAAGAGCAAACUAUGAGGCAGCCGCAGUUCAAAUUUGACCUGCUUCCACCUGAAUCAACGGGAAUUUGUCGUUUUCACCAAAGAUGGAUCAAAACUUUUGACACCCAACCAUUUUGUCAGUUGUGAAUUAAAUAUGGCCUAGUAUUUUAUAAAAUUUAUUAGGUCCAAUUUUGCAACAAAUAUAUGGUAGGUCUUUCACAAAAAAAGUCAUUUCGGACACUCAGAAAAUGGAAAAUGUAUUUUCUGUGAAAAGAAAAUGAAAACUCCCUUAGGCAACAUUGUUUGGAAUUCCAAGAUGAACCCUUGUGCACAAUAUGAGAUCAUUUGAACAAACUAUGCCAUGAAUGUGGCCAUAAGAUUGAUCAUUUGGCUUGAAAGCCAUUAAUCUUCACACUUGAUAGCUCAUUUCCGAGAACACUUUUUUAAAAUAAUUACCAUAUUAAAAGUUUAUUAUUUUUCCUGGAAACUUGGUCACAUAUAAUGACACAAUGCGAAGGUUUUCCAAUUUUUUGGUUUUUUGAAUUUUUUAUGCCCGUUUCAAAAUGCGGUCAAAACGGCGGGCUUGACCAUUCCUAGCUAGUGGUUGAAUCUUGGAAAACUUUUGAUGUUUCUAUGAUUAAAUAGAUACUUAUGUACCUAGAAAUGACUUUUGGAAAAAAUAAAGAGCAAACUAUGAGGCAGCUGUAGUUCAAAUUUGACCCGCUUUCAACUAAACCGGCGGAAAUUUGUCUUUUUCAUGAGAGGUGGAUCAAAGGUUUUCACACCCAACCAUUUGGUCAAUUGUAUAUUAAAAUGGACUAGUAUUUUAUAAAAUUGAUUUGGUCCAAUUUUGCAACAAAUAUAUGGUAGGUCCUUCACAAAAAAAACUCUUUUCGGGCACUCAGAAAAUGGAAAAUGUAUUUUCCGUGCAAAGAAAAUGAAAACUCCCUUAGGCAACAUUGUUUGUCAUUCCAAUAUGCACCCUUGUGCACAAUAUGAGAUCAUUUGAACAAACUAUCCAUGAAUGUAGCCAUAAGAUUGAGCAUUUGGGUUGAAAGCCAUGCAUCUUCACGCUUUAUAGCUCGUUUGUGAGAACAGUUUUUAAAAAUAAUCACCAUGUUACAAGUUUAUAAUUUUUGCUGGUAACUUGAUCAUAUAUAAUGACACAAUGCAAAGUUUUUCCAAUUUUUUGUUUUUUUUUAAAUUUUUUAUGCCCGUUUGAAAAUGCGGUCAAAACAGCGGGAAUGACCGUUCCUAGCUAGUGGUUGAAUCUUGAAUUUUUUUGGUGUUUCUGUGAUAAAAUAGAUACUUAUGUACCUUGAAAUUAUUUUUGGAAAAAAUAAAGAGCAAACUACGAUGUAGCUACAGUUCAAAUUUGACCCGCUUCCUACUGAAUCGGCGGGAAUUUGUCUUUUUCACGAGAGGUAGAUCAAAACUUUUUACACCCAACCAUUUGGUCAAUUGUGCAUUAAAUAUGUCCUAGUAUUUUAAAAAAUUGAUUUGGUACAAUUUUGCAACAAAUAUAUGGUAGAUCCUUCAUAAAAAAAACCUCAUUUUAGGCACUCGAAAAAUGGAAAAUGAAUUUUCCGUGUAAAUAAAAUGAAAAAUUCCUUAGGCAACAUUGUUUGCCAUUCCAAGAUGCACUCUGAUGCAAAGUAUGAUAUAUUUUGAACAAAUUAUGCCAUUUCAAAAUGCACCCUCAUGCAAAAAAUACAAGAGAAACAAAUAGAAAAAUACAAUUACAUAAGCUUUGUUCUUAUUGGUUGAAAUGUUUGUGCCAUGGAUCGACGACAUGGCAUCCAUCCAUCCAUCGCAUUUAUCUAAAGAAAAAAAUAGAAAGAAAGAAAAAGAACCCCACCCCCGGGCAGCCCAACCACUCAAACCGUCUCCCCUCCCCGGAUCCAUCGUCGCCGCCCCCUUCUCCCCCCUCAUCCCCUCCAACCACCCAAACCCUAUCCCCUACCCAGAUCCAAUCUCGCCGCCAGCCUCACUCUCCCCCCUCAUCCUCUCCUGCUCGCACACGCUUCCCCCGCGGUGGCUCCUCCCCAUUCCGGAGUUCCGACCGGCCACCGAGACACGGACACNNNNNNNNNNNNNNNNNNNNNNNNNNNNNNNNNNNNNNNNNNNNNNNNNNNNNNNNNNNNNNNNNNNNNNNNNNNNNNNNNNNNNNNNNNNNNNNNNNNNNNNNNNNNNNNNNNNNNNNNNNNNNNNNNNNNNNNNNNNNNNNNNNNNNNNNNNNNNNNNNNNNNNNNNNNNNNNNNNNNNNNNNNNNNNNNNNNNNNNNNNNNNNNNNNNNNNNNNNNNNNNNNNNNNNNNNNNNNNNNNNNNNNNNNNNNNNNNNNNNNNNNNNNNNNNNNNNNNNNNNNNNNNNNNNNNNNNNNNNNNNNNNNNNNNNNNNNNNNNNNNNNNNNNNNNNNNNNNNNNNNNNNNNNNNNNNNNNNNNNNNNNNNNNNNNNNNNNNNNNNNNNNNNNNNNNNNNNNNNNNNNNNNNNNNNNNNNNNNNNNNNNNNNNNNNNNNNNNNNNNNNNNNNNNNNNNNNNNNNNNNNNNNNNNNNNNNNNNNNNNNNNNNNNNNNNNNNNNNNNNNNNNNNNNNNNNNNNNNNNNNNNNNNNNNNNNNNNNNNNNNNNNNNNNNNNNNNNNNNNNNNNNNNNNNNNNNNNNNNNNNNNNNNNNNNNNNNNNNNNNNNNNNNNNNNNNNNNNNNNNNNNNNNNNNNNNNNNNNNNNNNNNNNNNNNNNNNNNNNNNNNNNNNNNNNNNNNNNNNNNNNNNNNNNNNNNNNNNNNNNNNNNNNNCACCCCCACCCUCACCGGCGACCGUCUCCCCCAACCCCAUCACCACCGCGACCUCCCUCCCUUGCUCCCUAGCUCUCCCUCCCUCAGGUCCGUCCGACCCAUGGGCGGAUGAGGCCCGACACCGUAGCCCUUCACCCACCCACCAAUGGAUGGAUGGGGACGGGGCGAUGAGGGCGCGGUGGCGGAGACAUCCAUGGCAAACGCGAGUCGGCAGCCGGCCAUCUCCGGCAAUUCCGGCAGUCGCCAGCCGGCCAUUUCUUCUUCUCCUCACUUCUGAUUCCUGCAUUUGUUUGUUUGUUUUGUGUGCAGGUUGCUCUGGUGCUGCUGCUGCUCCCUCCUUUGCUCUGCCUCCUCCUCCUAGAUGCUGCUCCCUCCUCUGCUCUGCCUACUCCUCCUAGCUACUGCCCAUGGAAGGUUUGAAAUCUCCCUCCCUCCCUCUCCCUCUCUCUCUCUCUCAUGGAAGGUUCUGGUUUGAUCUGACAAACCACUUCUUAUUUGUUAUUAUGCGUGCAGCAGCGACAAGGUUCGUUUGGUACAACAGCAGAACAACGAGCUGCAUCUUCAAGGUCAGCAGCAGCAGCAGCUACAUGGAUGCAGGGACGCCACCAUGGAUGAAAGAGCAACUCAAUUUGGUAGCCCCCCCUCUCUCUGAUGCAUAAGUGAAAGUUUUUUUGCUGCUAGGACCAGACCACACCUACUAUACUACUAUCAGUUUCAUUUCUACUAAUUGAUGAGCGUGGGAAUUUUUGUUGUUGAUGAGCACAUGUUGCACAUAGCAGCCGUAGCUACUCAAGUCCCUAGUUGCACGACAAUGCUCAAUUCUAGCCUCCUUGUAUAGCUCAAUAAGAACUGGAUGCCAACUCCUCAAAAGCAUUCUGUCAACAUAAAUAAACAUCAUUUUUCAGCAACUAGGCACAUCAUUUUACCACAUAGAAAUGCACUUCUGUUUCUUAGAUUGCUACGACGCAUUCGCCAAUCCUGCCAACUAAUAAAGUGUAUUCUAGUUUGAAGGUUUACUGUUUCAUAAUAGCCAAAUAAAUAGCCUGCAUUUAAUAAUUCUUUUGCUACUUUAAAUGUAAUCAUGUAGUGGCAAAAUUCAUGAAAUCAUUCUGGCAGUAAAUACUGUAGUUCUAGUUGGCCCAACCUCAAUUCUGGAAGUACAAAUUCUUGCUAUUUUUCUCAUAAGAUUAUAGCUUGAAACAUACUAUCUAGAAAUUAUUUCUCUAUUGUCAUUGCUUUCCUAACUGAAUCUUCAUUUCAGAUUACAUACAACUUCUUCCACUGGAAGAAGGGAACUCCAUUCGCUGAUGAUCAAGGGAUGUAUAAUAGAUUGACUUGGUGGGAGCAAAUGGACAAAGGCAAGUAGCUUACUCGCAACAGAAAAUUUCUUGUUGUGGUUCAUGUAGUCCUGUAAAUGUUAUUCUGUUUCAAUUUUAUUAAUACUACUUUUGGGAGCUUAUUAGGCAAGGAACAACAUGGCCAGAUGUAUGCACAAAGAUUGAUUCUGGCUAGUCAGAAAUACCACACUUAUUCAUUAAUUAUGCAAAUAACGCUUGUUAGUAACAUCUAGGUCUAACUUGCAUAUUCACGCCAUUAUACAUGUGUAAGGAUUGGGCAUUGCUCUAUUGCUCUAUUCAUGCCAUUAUACAUGUGUAAGGAUCUGGCGGCAGUACUAUUGGUUAUUAUUUAUAAGAAGUCAUACUGAUCAUGAAAAAUAUGCCACAGUAAACUUUGAAACAAUGCUGAUAACAGUUUCACACAGCUGUGCCCCUUUAUAUUGCUUGCUCUCACUCAAUAGGCACCAUUUGUGCAUUUUUGUUCCAUAUCUCUUACCCUGAUGUUGAAAAAGUAAUUAAGUCUUGAACUACUUGAAUCAUUGAUGUGCUGUAAAUCUAUGCUCGGUUCUAUAUGCGAAGGUGGACACUAUCUUUGCUGCUUGCGUCUUGAAUAAAUAAAUUAAAUUCUGUAAUGAUGAUCUGAAAUGUCACAUAGGUGACCAUUUGUGCUGUCACCGCCAUCGUGCCGGUUGGAGGUACUGCUGCUGCAUCUGGCGGAGCUGCAGCUGCCGCCCCAAAGGGCAACCUUCAUCAAACACAACCCCAUAAUAGGGCCUCAAGGUUCCGUGCCCCAUCGCCCCUCUUUCUAAAUUACUGAAACAAAAAUGGCUAGGCCUGAUGUGCCUCUUGUAUCUGUUGCUCGAUUUAUGAUUUGAUUCACCAAGAGUGAUUCUUCUACAGUCUUGUAGUAUGGUUAAAUGGAACAACAAGGGAUGUUUCUAAUUUGGUUAUUGCUAGAAUAAUUCAUCGACUUGAGAUAUGCUGGGAUGUUUUGCCUGUCCUUACUGAAGAAGAUGGGAAUGGAAUUUAAUUGGAUGGUCCCUUUCAUCGUGCUUAAUUAUGUUCUGCUUGAGUUUACUGCCUUAUUAUGUUCUGCUUGAGUUGACACUAUUUAUGUCCAAACCUGGGUUUAUACUCUUUGCUUGUCGUCAUCACUCAUCGGUUGGGCUGUUUACUUAAUGUAUUUGUUGUCCGAUUGCUCCAUCAUAUUUGCUAAUGUACUUCUACAUAUAUAUAUGUUGGUUGUAAUCUGCUUGAACGAUCCAAGUACUUGAUAUUCCAUUCUGUUCUUGUAGGUGAAUGGAGCUUGUGUUGUUGAUAGAACACCGUUGAUGACUUCUUCCUAUGUUGAAGAGCAUGUUCCGUGGUAUCCAAG